UGUGGAUUUUAUCCAAGGAUGUGAAUGUACCUCAAAAAACUGAAAAUCACUGUUAGUUUGCGCGGCCUUGGGGGAGAAGGCAUGAGGAGGAUGAAGAGAGAAGACCUGGCUUGAGGAGACGGUUGCCGGACCCGCUGGGCCUGGGCUCGGGGCGGGAGCCCAGGGGCUGACUAGCGAAUGAGGAUCAGCGAAAGAGAAUCCGAAUCACUAAGACAUCAGUGGAAAACAUGCAAGGGAACAGCUGGUGAAGUUCAGUUGACAUCAGACGAAGAGCCAUGGUAAAAGCAGCACUAAUACAAAGUACUUUUUAAAUUAAUUAAAUUAAUUACUUGAAGCAA